CAUAAAGAGAGCUGAGUGCCAAAUAAUUGGUGCUUUCAAAUAGUGGUCCUAUAGAAGACUCUUGAGAGUCUCUUGGACAGCAAGGAGAUCAAACCAUCAAUCCUCAAGAAAAUCAACCCUGAAUAUUCAUUGGAAGGACUAAUACUGAAGGUGAAUUUGACCAACUGAUAUAAAGAGCUGACUCAUUAGAAAAGACCCUGAUGCUGGGAAAAACUGAAGGCAUAAGACAAGGGGGCAACAGAGAGCAUCACUGUUGCAAUUACAGAGCAUCACUGACUCAGUGGACAUGGAUUUGAUCAAACUCCUCCAGGAGAUAGUGGAGGGCAGAGGAUCCUGGCAUUCUGCAGUUCAUGAAGUCACCAACAGCUGAACACGAAUUAGAGUCUGAACAAUAAAAACAACCUCUGUUGUUCUGCCUGAACUCUCAACUUGCCAUCUUUCUUCUCUCUGUUCUUUGUUUCCAGGCAAUCUUCCUGACCCAGGGAUCAAACCCAUAUCUCCUGCAUUGGCAGGUGGAUUCUUUACCAUUGAGCCACGAAAGAAAGAAAGAAAAGAAAGAAAGUGAAGUUGCAUCCGACUCUUUGCGACCCCAUGCUUCUCCGUCCAUGGGAUUCUCCAGGUGGGAUUACCAUACAAAUGCCUUUGGAAAACAGAAAAGAAAAUGAUGUAUUUUCCAUCACUGAGGCUGAGAAUUGCCAGACUUUCGUCUCCAUGCAACCCACACUUGAAUUCUUAUUUACCAAAGCAUAUGAUGUACCUAUAGACAGCUAUGUACAUGUGGAUACCUAUAGACAGAGGUGGUAAUCAGAGCUUCUGAGACAAGAGGGAAGGGGACAGGGCACAAUCAUUAAAAGAAUGAUAUAGCCAUUGAGGAUAGGAAAAAUACUGAUUAGAGCCAACCAG
ensembl:lncRNA